GGGGAAAUAAGGCUUAAGAUGGCCGCUAACUAAUCUUAAAAACGGUUAAAUUCCGUUUUUUCCUUC
rnacentral:tRNA from 1 species